GGCAACCUAUAUCACAGUAUUUAUCAUGUAUAAUUUUCAUUAUUAUCUGUCAUUAAUCAGCGAUUUGAUGAAACUUCAAUUGAUAUUUCGUUUAUUCUGUCAAGCGAAUCUAUAAAAGGCCUAGAACUCUUAUACAUACACGGCUAACAUUGCUAAUAACUCUGAUUAGUUUUGUAAUAAAUAAAAUGAAAAAUCGGCAGAAUACUUUUCUAUGUAAACAUACUUCGUGAGAACGGAAACGAUCCUUUCAGGUUUGUCCUGAAAUGAACUGAACUCUUUCUUAGCUAUUCUUGCAGUCAUCAGAAUAAUAAUCAUAAUAUUUGUCAAAAACAUUUGCAUGAAAAAGAUAACGUGAGUAAAAACCAUUAUCUAUGUCGCUUUGAUUGUUUUUAAGGUGUGCGUCCUUACUAACCUCAUGAAAACAGCAGAUAACUUAAAGAUCACAGAGCGAGCUUUCACCUUUACUAUGAGAGGUUCGUAGUAUCAUGUGAACAAAUACAGUUCAAAUGGUUGAAAUCUAUGCACUAAUAGUAUAAUCUGAACUUUUUUUGGCUAAAAUUUUGUCUCGUGAUGUUGUUCCAAAAAGCUCUAUCGUGAAGUAUUGUUGCUAAGGGUUACAAACACGAUUUUGUGUUGCGUGAUAUUUUAUGUUAUUUGUUUCGUGUUUCGUGAUUUUUGGAGGUUGCCGUGGGCAAUAAAAGGGUCCCACACCUUGAUGAAUUCAUAACUACCAGCUUCGGUGAGGAGAGGAACACUGAAACAUUGAUCCCUUCGAAAUCAUUCUUGGCUAGGAUCUGCAGACCAUUAGGGGAAUUUUUAAUAAUCUGAGCAAAUUAUGAAUCACCCAAGUGACCUCUCUGCUCGCACAGAACGAGGCUUUACUAAUAAAGAAAAUGCAGAGGCAAUUAAAUUUGUUGCCGGAAAACUGGCGCUCGUUGGCGACCAGCUGAACCAGUCAUAUGAAGAAUCGCGUUGCAGCGAAGUCAGGUCAUGUAUAAAGCUGGAAAGUUGCUUAGACAUUUUGCGUUUGGUGCUGAAGGCGUAAACCAGAAAGUUUAAAAUAAACAAGAGGGCGACUGGAAAUGCUCGGAAGUGUGUUCUGAAAGCAGGAAACUUAUUGAGGAUGCUUCAAAAUGAGAUUUGAAUGAAAUGUAUGCUCUGUGGACAAAGUUCAGGAGUUUUAUCUAUGAAAGAACGAAAAUAUGAACUGAUCGGACACUGAAUUAAAGUCAAAUCUAGAAAUCCGAUAAAACUGUAUUUUAUUAUAAACGUUUUGAUAGACUGAAACGACUAGUUGAUCGCUUUUCAGUGUAAUUAUAUUUGCUUAUGGCUUAAGAUAUAGUUUUUUAGUUUUAGAAUCACUGCAAUUUAAUCUUUUACUUUCUAACCAAACGCCAAAAAGCUAGUUAGACUUUUUGCCCGAUUGUUAAGAAGGUUCUGUUGACAAUAUAUAUGAAGAGGGAAAAUAAAUCUACCGGUCUGAUAACAUCCGGUAUCGACUGAUA